AUCCAAAAUCACUCGAACCAAGCCCUAAAUUCAGUCCAAAUUCGGGCGAGUGAAUCCCAAAUCUCACCUCACACGUUCCCCCUCUCUCCUUAUCACCAUUUCUAACGAUUUCUAACACCAAAGAUUCCCCUCUCCUCUCACUCGCUCGAAUUCGAGUUUUAUCGCACGAUUGAAAGGCUCUGGAGACGAGAUGCUGGAUGAGUGUGAGGCGUUGGAUUGAUUUCACUCAAUCCGAGCCCCAUAUUCAUCAAGGAUUGGUCUUCAAAAGAAGCCUUAUCCGAUUUUGUGAGGGGGAGACUCAAAAAGAAUUUUCUGAAAAAAGGGUUAAAAAGCUUAUUGAACUGAUGGUUUUCGGGGUUGAUAUUCUUCUUUGAAGGGUCCUUUCAAGGUUUAAGAGAAGUAUAGGUACAAAUUUUUCUAUUAUCCUGAAUCCGGAUUUGAGUUUCAAGGAGAUAAAAAUUGAAGUUUAGGCUUGGAUUUCUAUGGUUGUUCUGUUGAUUUGCUGCUGAACUUCGCUAGUAUUCGAAGGCAAAAGGUGUAUUAUUAAGGCUGUAAUUGUUAAAAGAAGUUCGUAACUUCAGCAUGCCAGUUCACUUCUUUUAAUUGGAGUAGGCGUACAUCUGUCAUUUUGAUUCCAUGGAAUUGUGGUCUUACUUGGGAAAUAUUAUGAAAAAUGGGAAUGUAAUUGAAAUUGUUUGUUUGUCAUCUCAUUGGAGCAACACUGCCAUGAUUAGUACUCCAAAGAAGGAAAUCGAAAGUUGCUCAAUACUGUCUUGUGGAGAAAACGAAAUUUUGGUCAAAACUGAUCACUGAAGCAACUGGGAAAAUUGUGAGUCUCUAGGCCAUCUCUGGCUGACUAAAAGAGAUGUAUUAAGAUGGAGUUAUUAUCUGUUUUGGUCUUAUAGCUUUACCUCAUUUUAAGUUAUUAUAGUUUCAGAAGUUUUAUUUAUCUAGAUAGAGUUGGAUAACGCCUAGUGUAUCACCCUAAGCAUGUGUGUAAUUAAUAGCCUUAUUGAAACAUCAAAUUAGUUUUAAAUAUGAACUUCUUUAGCUUGA